rnacentral:rRNA from 1 species
UACGAAGGUCCCAAGCGUUAUCCGGAUUUAUUGGGUUUAAAGGGUGCGUAGGCGGGUUAUUAAGUCAGUGGUGAAAGCCUUCAGCUUAACUGAAGAAUUGCCAUUGAUACUGAUGAUCUUGAGUAUGAUUGAGGUGGGCGGAAUGUGUCAUGUAGCGGUGAAAUGCUUAGAUAUGACACAGAACACCGAUUGCGAAGGCAGCUCACUAAGUCAUAACUGACGCUGAUGCACGAAAGCGUGGGGAGCAAUCAGG